GGCAGGUCAGAGUUAUCUCUUCUCUCUGUCUGUUCUGAGGAACUAGCUUCCAGAAUGGGAAAGGUAUAGGGUGGUACCAGGUGAUAUUGAGGCACAGAGUUGCCUGAAGUGUCCUGAGAAGAUUCCUUUGUAUUAUUUACAGAAUGAAGGAGGAUAGAGGGGGAAGUUCAGGACUCUAAGAUAUCUCCCCCUUUGCCAAGUGUCUGAAGAUCACAGAUAAAGGAAGAGGCCUGGUGGGAAGUUGGAAUGAUGGAAAGUGUUGCCAGAAACAUCUGAGAGGAAGGAAGUCAAAGAGGCACACAGGAGCCACAGAGAAGAGUGAAAGUCAGAAGUCAGUCCUUGGGAUGAAGGUAUCAAAGAUUUAUUAAAGCUUAUGUGCCUUAAUCCCAGAGGAAAGGAAGAAGAAUGAGCGAACAUUCACUGAAACAGAAGGCAACAUCAUCCAGUGCCUCUGUACUUCCUCUUACACAGUCUUCCAUGCACUCAAAAAUUGCUAAGCAGGCCAGCAAAGCUAUGGAGACAAUAAAUAGAUCAAAUGGUGAUUGCCAGAGGUAUUUUAUGGAGAGCUAGAUGUUCAUCAAAGAAUAUUAUGAAGAGAGAGGACCAUGGCUGGACAGAGAGAUAAAAACAGCAAGUUUUCCAAUUAAACAAAUUAAGAAAGUUACCAAAGCCAUGCACAUACUAAUGGCCCGUUCCAAUCAAAAGACUCAAUCCUCUCCAAUUGUAAGAGUAUGCUUUUAAUACUCAAUUUUAAUGAAAUUCAAGCCAGGCUUUUCAUUGCUCAAUCUCUUUAACCAGGUGCCAAAAAUCUGGCCAAAUGUAUGGAAGCAGAUUCUUCUUCUUUGAACCACCACAAGGACUUUGAUGUUUAUGCCGAGUAGAAGGAAUCUAGCUUGAUUACCCUCUUUUCCAAAGGACCAUCCCUUUCUUGGUAGAGUAUUCUGCCUGAUUUAUCCAGCUUGGAAGGACACCAUGAACUUGGCCUUCCAAACCUACUUAUUAAAAAUCCCUUCCCUUUUUUGGUCAGCCUUAAAGAGUCACAAAGAUUCUCACACAACAAACUAAUUAACUACUGCAUUUUUUUUCUGAAAAAUAAUCAUGUUUAAGAUAAUGCAAAUAUACUUUUUAUUGGCAUUUUCUGUUUAUUAUUACACCUUUUAAAAAGCAACAAAACUAAAAUUCUAACCCUUUGACACUAGAUUUUAUAAUUUGAAAAAUGAGUUUGCCUUGUGCUUCUAAAUCCACCUGAUGUUUCUUCUGACAAACUUUUCACA